rnacentral:rRNA from 1 species
UACGUAGGGUGCGAGCGUUGUCCGGAAUUAUUGGGCGUAAAGAGCUCGUAGGCGGUUUGUCGCGUCUGCCGUGAAAGUCCGGGGCUCAACUCCGGAUCUGCGGUGGGUACGGGGCAGACUAGAGUGAUGUAGGGGAGACUGGAAUUCCUGGUGUAGCGGUGAAAUGCGCAGAUAUCAGGAGGAACACCGGUGGCGAAGGCGGGUCUCUGGGCAGUAACUACG